UACGGAGGAGGCAAGCGUUAUCCGGAAUCAUUGGGCGUAAAGCGCGUGUAGGCGGCCAGGUAGGUCCGUUCUGAAAGCCCGGGGCUCAACCCCGGGAGGCGGAUGGAUACUGCUUGGCUCGAGUCCGGAAGAGGCGAGUGGAAUUCCCGGUGUAGCGGUGAAAUGCGCAGAUAUCGGGAGGAACACCAAUGGCGAAGGCAGCUCGCUGGGACGGUACUGACGCUGAGACGCGAAAGCGUGGGGAGCAAACAGG
rnacentral:rRNA from 1 species